rnacentral:rRNA from 1 species
CAAGUCUGGUGCCAGCAGCCGCGGUAAUUCCAGCUCUCAAAGUGUAUAUCGUCAUUGCUGCGGUUAAAAAGCUCGUAGUUGGAUCUGCGUCUCAGGACCUGGUCCAUCCAUUGGAUGAGAACUAGGCUCCUAGGCUAAUAUUGCCAGUUUUCUAUACGUUACCUUGAUUGGUUGCGUAUGGUGGCUAGCAAGUUUACCUUGAAAAAAUUAGAGUGCUCAAUGCGGGCUAAUGCCUGAAUACUCGUGCAUGGAAUAAUGAAAUAGGAUCUCGGUUCUAUUUUGUUGGUUUUCUGAUCUGAGAUAAUGGUUAAGAGGGACGGACGGGGGCAUUCGUAUCGCUGCGUGAGAGGUGAAAUUCUUGGACCGUAGCGAGACGUACGACUGCGAAAGCAUUUGCCAAGAAUGUCUUCAUUAAUCAAGAACGAAAGUCAGAGGUUCGAAGGCGAUCAGAUACCGCCCU